GACAUAAAAAAUUUGAAUUUUCUGACAUUUAUACGUGUAUUCAGCGUCUGUGUGAACAAAAAAUGUUCUCUCUCUCAUUCUAUGGUUCUUGAGCUUUAAUAACAGGGACAUUUUUUAAAUUGGUAGCAUUAGAAAAUGACAGUAAACAGCUGACUGAUGUAAACAAUAACACAAUAACAAAGGAAAUGUUAUAAUUUUAAUCUAUAUAACCAGUGGCUGCUUUAAAAGUGUGUACUAACGGGAUAAUAACAUAUUUACGCAAGUAUUUUUGAAGGCAGAAACAUUACUUGUCAUAUAACAACUACUCAGAUUAUAUGAUGAGACGGGAAUGGCACAAUACAGAAUUGCAGUCAGUGAUUGUGAUGGAGAAAGCUGCUGUGAAGUACUGACAGUACUGACUAUCGCUGGUUGUACGAUUUGUGCAAUUUGUGAUAUAUUUUGUGUGAAAAACUGGAAAAGAAAGUGCAUCACUGCAUAACCUCACUUAUCGCAGUUUUGCACUUUUUGAUGAUGGGAAUUGCGGUUCAAGUAAUUAUGAGUUAUAGAUGGAGAGCCCUGUUUACUUCAAACUGAAGCCUUUUGGGUCCACUUUGUUCGUUAUUUCCUGGCAGCCACUCUUGUUUCAAGCAGAGUGGGUGUAAAGUUAAAAAUAAUCCCGUAAAAUUGUUAAUAUAACUCCUUUGCACUGGCAUGGGGUAUUUGAAAACUUACGUUUAACAAAUACGUCACAAAGUCUCAGCCAUCGUUGAAAAACAUAAUAAGGGCUUUAUAACAAGAAGCGCUUUCUGAUUUUACUGUGGACGUGUGGAAGAAUAGUGUGAAAUAUUGCGAAAAACCAACUUUUACUCUUGUUUACAUUUUUGUACGUCUCUAUCUGAGAGUAGUCUCUUGUAUAAAAAAUAUAGCCUACUAAUAAAGGAAAUUAAAGUGUUUUUAUUUCUGGGUUGCCCCCAAUUCCACUUCGCCCUUGCCUGAUAAUCAAGACACUGAUAAUGAAAUUGGUGUUAGUGCAUCGAAUACAAACGUGUUGAAUAGAUGAAUAAAAGAGAGACAACUGCUUUUUUCAAAAAGGCCAUUUCAAAUUUAUUCAAAAAGCACACCCCCAUUGAAAAGGGUCCAUUCACGAUGAAGUUUGGCUUCCUGCAUGACAUAGGUCUCGGGCACCAAUCUCACUGUAAAUGGUCUAAAUUGGUCUUGCAUCUCUAAGACAUGGACUCACUGAGAGCGACUUCUGCAGUAGGCUUGAGACCUGCCUGCCUGUCUCGCAACAAUCUCUGCAUUAUGAUUCCAAAUCAUUCUAUAAAACGCUGUCAAUUACAAGCCAUGAUAUGAGGCAUGAGGCCGUCUCAGUGUAUGUCUUGUGGUGUACAUUGAAACUGUUUCUUAAAGAACCCAUUCACAAUGAGAUCUGCUUCGCUACAUGCGGCGCGACAGGACUCAAAGACUAAUCCUCAAAGACACAAAAAAACUGACACAGUUUAUCAUUUUAAGCCAUUGACAGCGUUUUCGAAUGUUGGUGCAAAGACUUGUCGCGAGGCAGGUUUCAGUCUUCCGCCAACGUCAGUCUGAGUGAAACCCUCUCAAAGUGAUCUCAGCGAAAACCAUUCACAAUGAGAUUGACCUAUGAGGCCUAUGUCGUGCCGCAUGCAGCGAGAUAUGUCUCAUUGUUAAUGAAAAUAGGGCCUUUUUUGUUGUUUAAAGUCGUUUUUUAAAACUUUUGUGGCAAAUUUUACUGAUGUGGCAGAGAGGGGGCAUGCAAUUGGAACAUGACGAUGACUACCCUAAAAGGCACUUCGAGGCUUUUAUGGCCUUUUUAAUGCAAAUUUCAACUUUAAACCUGACAGUCAUACCAAGGUCAAACAUAACCUCAACAGUAAUCCAGCAACGGUACUUCAAAGCAUUUGAAAGUUUCUCCAUUUGUUUUUAAGUGUUCUAGUUGGUACAUUUUGCUGUACUUUACUACAAUAAAGAAAUAUUUAAAUUUU